GUAGAUUCUCCUUCUAUGAGUAC
rnacentral:miRNA from 2 species